GAUGAACGCUGGCGGCGUGCCUAAUACAUGCAAGUCGAGCGGACAGACGCGGCUCUUGCUCCUCUGACGUGUGCGGCGGACGGGUGAGUCACACGUGGAUCCCCUACCUGUCAUUCUGGUAUAACUUCGGGAAACCGGAGCAAAUCCCGGAGGAUAUAUUGAACCGCAUGGUGCAAUAGUGAAAGUCGGUUUUUCUGUCACUUCUAGCUGGAUCCGCGCCGCAUUAGAUAGUUGGUAGGGUAACGGCUUACCAAGGCGACGAUGCGUAGCCGACCUGAGAGAGUGAUCGGCCGCAUGGGAGCGGAGACACGGACCAGAGUACUAAGGGAGGCAGCAGUAGGGAAUCUUCCGCAAUGGGCGAAAGCAUGACGGAAUGACGCCGCGUGAGUGAUGAAGGCCUUCGGAUCGUAAAACUCUGUUAUUAGGGAAAAACAAAUGUGGAAGGAGCUAAGGACGGCUUGACGGUACCUAAUCAGGAAGCCCCGGCUAACUACGUG
rnacentral:rRNA from 1 species